rnacentral:rRNA from 1 species
UACGGAGGGUGCAAGCGUUAAUCGGAAUUACUGGGCGUAAAGCGUGCGCAGGCGGUUUGUUAAGUCCGUUGUGAAAGCCCCGAGCUCAACUUGGGAAUUGCAGUGGAUACUGGCAGGCUGGAGUACAGUAGAGGAAGGUGGAAUUCCCGGUGUAGCAGUGAAAUGCGUAGAGAUCGGGAGGAACACCAGUGGCGAAGGCGGCCUUCUGGACCAAUACUGACGCUCAUGCACGAAAGCGUGGGGAGCAAACAGG